UACGUAGGGUGCAAGCGUUGUCCGGAUUUAUUGGGCGUAAAGAGCUCGUAGGCGGUGUGUCGCGUCGGCCGUGAAAACCUGCAGCUUAACUGUGGGCUUGCGGUCGAUACGGGCAUCACUGGAGUUCGGCAGGGGAGACUGGAAUUCCUGGUGUAGCGGUGAAAUGCGCAGAUAUCAGGAGGAACACCGGUGGCGAAGGCGGGUCUCUGGGCCGAUACUGACGCUGAGGAGCGAAAGCGUGGGGAGCGAACAGG
rnacentral:rRNA from 1 species